AGAUCUCUGCCUACCUGAGGCCUUCCAAAGGACAUAUGCCUGCACAACCGUUUCACUGCCAGGCUCUUCAAAAGCACAAGCAGACACGGGGGAAGAGCUGCCAUGUUUCACUAAGUCAGUGCUUCAAACCAGCAUACCUGAUAGUAAACCUGGACACACGCUUACAGGAAGAUGCAAGAAAUAAGUGGAUAAAGAAAGAAAGGAAUGAAAACCCCAAUGUAGAGCAUUUGACAUUGUUUCAGUAAUACCUCAGGCAAUUUGUCUCCUUUUACAAAUACCAAUUUACAACAGCGGAGUCCUUGGGUAACCCUCAGCCAAAGCCAGCAAGAGGGGGGGAGAUAAAGCUCUCUAUUGCACGCACU
ensembl:lncRNA